rnacentral:rRNA from 1 species
UACGAAGGGGGCUAGCGUUGCUCGGAAUCACUGGGCGUAAAGGGUGCGUAGGCGGGUCUUUAAGUCAGGGGUGAAAUCCUGGAGCUCAACUCCAGAACUGCCUUUGAUACUGAAGAUCUUGAGUCCGGGAGAGGUGAGUGGAACUGCGAGUGUAGAGGUGAAAUUCGUAGAUAUUCGCAAGAGCACCAGUGGCGAAGGCGGCUCACUGGCCCGGUACUGACGCUGAGGUGCGAAAGCGUGGGGAGCAAACAGG